AACCCAUGAUGAUGACACAUUCUCAAAAGAUCCUUAAAUAUCUCUCAUGCAUCAUAUAAUGUCUCCAUAUCAAAUUGAGAAAAAGAAGAGAUGUUGUUUCUCAACUU
rnacentral:snoRNA from 1 species